rnacentral:rRNA from 1 species
AGUGAACGUUGGCGGCGUGGAUUAGGCAUGCAAGUCGAGCGAGAACCGUAGCAAUACGGGGACAGCGGCGAAAGGGACAGUAAUGUGUAGGUACCUACCUCCGGGUUCGGGAUAGCUGCGGGAAACUGCAGGUAAUACCGAAUAACGUCUCCGGACCAAAGGUGUGAUUCCACCUGGAGAGGGGCCUGCAUCCUAUUAGCUAGUUGGGGAGGUAACGGCUCACCAAGGCGACGAUGGGUAGCGGGUGUGAGAGCACGACCCGCGUCAUUGGGAAUGAGACACUGCCCAGACACCUGCGGGUGGCUGCAGUCGAGGAUCUUCGGCAAUGGGCGCAAGCCUGACCGAGCGACGCCGCGUGCGGGAUGAAGGCCUUCGGGUUGUAAACCGCUGUCGUAGAGGAGGAAAUGCAGGGGGGUUCUCCCCUCUGUUUGACCUAUUCUAGGAGGAAGGACGGGCUAAGUUCGUGCCAGCAGCCGCGGUAACAC